UACGGAGGAUGCAAGCGUUAUCCGGAAUUAUUGGGCGUAAAGCGUCCGUAGAUGGUUUUGCCAGUCGGCUGUCAAAGCGCAGGGCUUAACCCUGUAAAGGCAGUGGAAACUACAAGACUAGAGUGCAGUAGGGGCAGAGGGAAUUCCCAGUGUAGCGGUGAAAUGCGUAGAGAUUGGGAAGAACACCCGUGGCGAAAGCGCUCUGCUGGACUGCAACUGACAUUGAGGGACGAAAGCUAGGGGAGCAAAUGGG
rnacentral:rRNA from 1 species